CCUACGGGAGGCAGCAGUGAGGAAUAUUGGUCAAUGGACGAGAGUCUGAACCAGCCAAGUAGCGUGAAGGAUGACUGCCCUAUGGGUUGUAAACUUCUUUUAUAUGGGAAUAAAACGUUCCACGUGUGGGAUUUUGUAUGUACCAUAUGAAUAAGGAUCGGCUAACUCCGUGCCAGCAGCCGCGGUAAUACGGAGGAUCCGAGCGUUAUCCGGAUUUAUUGGGUUUAAAGGGAGCGUAGGUGGAUUGUUAAGUCAGUUGUGAAAGUUUGCGGCUCAACCGUAAAAUUGCAUUUGAAACUGGCAGUCUUGAGUACAGUAGAGGUGGGCGGAAUUCGUGGUGUAGCGGUGAAAUGCUUAGAUAUCACGAAGAACUCCGAUUGCGAAGGCAGUUCACUGGACUGCAACUGACACUGAGGCUCGAAAGUGUGGGUAUCAAACAGGAUUAGAUACCCCAGUAGUC
rnacentral:rRNA from 1 species